rnacentral:rRNA from 1 species
CAUUCACGAAUGAUGAAUGCCUGUAGCGAAUCAAGUCGAGCAAGGAGUGAGCUUGCUGACGAGCGGCGGACGGGUGAGUAACGCGUAGGAAUGUACCCCAAAGUGAGGGAUAAGCACCGGAAACGGUGUCUAAUACCGCAUAUGGUCUUCGGAUUAAAGCUUCGGCGCUUUGGGAACAGCCUGCGUAUGAUUAGCUAGUUGGUAGGGUAAUGGCCUACCAAGGCGACGAUCAUUAGCUGGUUUGAGAGGAUGAUCAGCCACACUGGGACUGAGACACGGCCCAGACUCCUACGGGAGGCAGCAGUAGGGAAUUUUCCACAAUGGACGAAAGUCUGAUGGAGCGACACCGCGUGCAGGAUGAAUGCCUUCGGGUUGUAAACUGCUUUUAUAUGUGACGAUUAUGACGGUAGCAUAUGAAUAAGGAUCGGCUAAUUCCGUGCCAGCAGCCGCGGUCAUACGGAAGAUCCAAGCGUUAUCCGGAAUUACUGGGCGUAAAGAGUUGCGUAGGUGGCAUAGUAAGUUGGUAGUGAAAGCGUGUGGCUCAACCAUACUCACAUUACCAAAACUGCUAAGCUAGAGAGCGAGAGAGGUAGAUGGAAUUCCCAGUGUAGGAGUGAAAUCCGUAGAUAUUGGGGAGGAACACCGAUGGCGUAGGCAGUCUACUGGCUCGUCUCUGACACUAAGGCACGAAAGCGUGGGGAGCAAACGGGAUUAGAUACCCCGGUAGUCCACGCCGUAAACUAUGGAUGCUAGCUGUUACCAGUAUCGACCCUGGUAGUAGCGAAGCUAACGCGUUAAGCAUCCCGCCUGUGGAGUACGGUCGCAAGACUAAAACAUAAAGGAAUUGACGGGGACCCGCACAAGCGGUGGAGCGUGUUGUUUAAUUCGAUGCUAAGCGAAGAACCUUACCCAGGCUUGACAUCCUUGGAAGGCCUCCGAAAGGAGACUGUGCCCUCGGGAACCAAGUGACAGGUGUUGCAUGGCCGUCGUCAGCUCGUGUCGUGAGAUGUUAGGUUAAGUCCUUCAACGAGCGCAACCCUUAUGAAUAGUUGGAUUUUUCUAUUCAGACUGCCCCGGCAACGGGGAGGAAGGGGGGGAUGAUGUCAGGUCAGUAUUACCCUUACGUCUGGGGCUACAAACACGCUACAAUGGCCGGUACAAAGGGCAGCCAACCCGUGAGGGGGAGCAAAUCCCAUCAAAGCCGGUCUCAGUUCGGAUUGCAGGCUGAAACUCGCCUGCAUGAAGCUGGAAUCGCUAGUAACGGUAAGUCAGCACAUUACCGUGAAUACGUUCCCGGGUCUUGUACACACCGCCCG